GGGGAAUAUUGCACAAUGGGCGAAAGCCUGAUGCAGCAACGCCGCGUGAGUGAUGAAGGUCUUCGGAUUGUAAAGCUCUGUCUUUUGGGACGAUAAUGACGGUACCAAAGGAGGAAGCCACGGCUAACUACGUGCCAGCAGCCGCGGUAAUACGUAGGUGGCGAGCGUUGUCCGGAUUUACUGGGCGUAAAGGGUGCGUAGGCGGAUGUUUAAGUGAGAUGUGAAAUACCCGGGCUUAACUUGGGUGCUGCAUUUCAAACUGGAUAUCUAGAGUGCAGGAGAGGAGAAUGGAAUUCCUAGUGUAGCGGUGAAAUGCGUAGAGAUUAGGAAGAACACCAGUGGCGAAGGCGAUUCUCUGGACUGUAACUGACGCUGAGGCACGAAAGCGUGGGUAGCAAACAGGAUUAGAUACCCUGGUAGUCCACGCCGUAAACGAUGAGUACUAGGUGUAGGAGGUAUCGACCCCUUCUGUGCCGCAGUAAAACACAUUAAGUACUCCGCCUGGGAAGUACGAUCGCAAGAUUAAAACUCU
rnacentral:rRNA from 1 species